GUGAGGAAUAUUGGACAAUGGCCGGAAGGCUGAUCCAGCCAUGCCGCGUGCGGGAGGACGGCCCUAUGGGUUGUAAACCGCUUUUGCGAGGGAGCAAUAAGAGUCACGUGUGGCUCGAUGAGAGUACCUCGCGAAUAAGCAUCGGCUAACUCCGUGCCAGCAGCCGCGGUAAUACGGAGGAUGCAAGCGUUAUCCGGAUUUAUUGGGUUUAAAGGGUGCGUAGGCGGUUUGCUAAGCGGGAGGUGAAAUGCCGGCGCUCAACGUCGGAAGUGCCUCCCGAACUGGUGGACUGGAAUGACUCUGCCGUGGGAGGAAUGUGUAGUGUAGCGGUGAAAUGCUUAGAGAUUACACAGAACACCGAUUGCGAAGGCAUCUCACGAAGGGUUGAUUGACGCUGAGGCACGAAAGCGUGGGGAUCAAACAGG
rnacentral:rRNA from 1 species